rnacentral:tRNA from 1 species
AGUGGGCUAGGUUACGGUUAGACUGUUUGUUUUCAAAACAAAAGGGGGAAUUCUCCGCCCGCUG